AAAUUGAAGAGUUUGAUCAUGGCUCAGAUUGAACGCUGGCGGCAGGCCUAACACAUGCAAGUCGAGCGGAAACGAGUUAU
rnacentral:rRNA from 4 species